UACAGAGGGUGCGAGCGUUAAUCGGAAUUACUGGGCGUAAAGCGUGCGUAGACGGUUAUUUAAGUCGGGUGUGAAAGCCCCGGGCUCAACCUGGGAAUUGCAUUCGAGACUGAAUAGCUAGGGUACGGUAGAGGGAAGUGGAAUUUCCGGUGUAGCGGUGAAAUGCGUAGAUAUCGGAAGGAACACCAGUGGCGAAGGCGGCUCACUGGCCCGAUACUGACGCUGAGGCACGAAAGCGUGGGGAGCAAACAGG
rnacentral:rRNA from 1 species